CACAAAGGGGUGCCAAACUGUAUGGGCUGAGAUUAUACCCUCGAACCUGAUGCGGAUAAUGCCGCCGUAGGAAAAGAACA
rnacentral:ncRNA from 1 species